rnacentral:rRNA from 1 species
AUGGAGCUACAUAAUAAUGAUUCGCCUUGCCAACAAUCAGAGGAGGAAGACAGACUCAGUGCACUGACUGAUGAUAUUUUGCUGUAUAUCUUGAUGAGAUCUGGCCUAAUUACAGCUGCAAGGACAAGUGUACUCUCUACACGUUGGAGAAAUCUGCCUUGGUUGCUGCCUGAGCUCAACAUUGAUGUCAAGGAUUUCCUAUCUAUUCCACACCCAGAUCCAAUUGAGGCAAAUGACAUGCAUGACGCGAUGGUGUCCCUUACCAAUGCAGCCAGGAGCUUCUUUGGUAAACCUCGAAGAGAGUCUACCGUCGCAAACCUGCGGCUUAAGCUCUGCUCGAUCAGUGCGUUCUCAAGCGACAUUGGCCCACUAGUGUGCGAUGCUAUCGACAGUGGCUUGCUGAAAGAUUUGGAUCUUACGAUCUUCAAUGAGACGGAACCGCGCGACUGUAAUGAUCCUCAUAUGCUACGGCUUGCUGACGACACGGAUCGUUUCUUCAAUGCCUACCCUAGUGUGUUCCAUUGCCUCACAAGGCUUUCUCUCCACAAUGUGUGCUUUUACAAGUUGGACAUGCACCAUCUCCUGUUUGACCGUUGCACACAAUUGAUGUAUCUAAGACUCUUUCAUUGUGACGCUGGGCGUGGCUUUCUGUCGAAGAUAGAUGCACCAAACUCAAAACUCCGUGUUCUGGACCUCGACACGUGUUGCUUUGGGAGGCUUGAGCUGGUCUGCCUUCCGAAACUGGAGAAGCUUCAUUGGGAUACUUGGGAAUCUGAAGAUGCACCAUUGUCUUUUGGUUCUGUUCCCUCUCUUGGAGAAUUACACCUUGCAAAUGGGCCCGAACUUGGUCAGAAUGUGAUCAAGUUAAGUGAACUUCUACGUGGCACCACGGGCAUACAUACUCUAACACUGGAUUUUAUGGGAGAAAAUCUUUGGAUGCAACCUGAAAUGAAGCAACUCAGCUCUGCAUUCAGCAAGCUAAGGAUGCUGUCCAUACUUGGUAUCUUUAUUGAAUUCGACCUUAUAUGGACGACAGCCCUUCUUGAGGCAGCCCCCUCUGUUGAAAUAUUACAAAUUCAGGUAUAUGACCAUUUAUGCGAUAUUGGUGGCCAGGUCAGACUGCGGCGCUUCCCUGAAAGAAGGAGCCCUCAGUGGGAGAUGGACUGCCGCGGCUCCAAGAACCUUCUACUAAGAGAGCUCCAAAUUAUUUGUUUUAAGCCGCUAAAGCAGCAGCUGGCAUUCACAAGGGCUAUGCUGGAGCGAGCACCCAAUUUGCAGAAAAUAAUUUUGAGAGAUGAGUCAUGUGAGGCAUGUGAUGACCUUGGGCAGCCGCCGCCUUGUUCUUCUGCAGAGCGUCUUUUCCCAGAGAGCAAGAAUGAGCAGGAAAGGGUGGUCAGGCGAAUUACAGAUGGUGUGAUGUUCUCAGGCCAAGUAAUUUUUGACGAUCGUAAGAAGCUGUAG